AGCCAGACUGCUGUUGCCAGUCCACAACUGCAUUCAUACUGCGAACACCAGGUCUAUGGCCUUGAACUGAAGAAAAUGCUGUUACAAGUUUCUGUUUGCCCUUUAGGGUAUAAUCUUUCCAUACACGGACAUUUCCAUCACCUGCAAUUAACAAGGCAUAUUCAGAAAAAGCUAUCAAAAAUUGAGGCCAGUGCAUGUGCAUGUCUAGGUAUUGGAUCCUUCCAGUAUCUAAGAGUUUGUUCCUACAGACCCAUACCAAAGUGUCAUAAUAACUACCAAUUCUAAGUGCCGGCUGCAAGCCAAUAAGGCAAAACCGAAGGGUCCAGGUCAGAUAGACUACCACUACCAAUUGCACACUGGUCUUUCCAACAAUGAUCUUACUUGAAGCAACAAGGAGCAAGCUGUCAUCAAGUUCGUUCACAAGGCAGAGCCUAGAAAUUCCUCUGUCGAAUAAAUCAUGAUUCUCGAAGCUGUUCAAAGUUGUACCUUCCUCGUAGUUCCAUACCCUGCGAGAUGGAUAUAUCGUGAUUUAGAAAAGACCAGAAUAACUGUAGUAUAUAAUAAACCAAGAAGAUAAAGGUAAAAGAUACUGUAUAUCGAUAUCUUGAAGUUAGAAAUUUUUGAAAUUCCAUAUCAUCAAAUAACACAAAAUAUUCUCUUCCAAGUGUCCAGUGGCAUUGAAUUUUGAUCAUAAAACAAAAACAAACUUCAAGGACCAAGCAAUAAUUAAGAAAUAUAAAUUAGCAUUCAAACACUCGGUCUCCAAUGUUGAAACCUAUCAGGGUUUCUAUCUAGGCCGAUAAAUCAUGUAUAGAGAACCCACUAAUGUGAUAAUUUUAUCAAACUUGCUAAAAACGAACCAGCCAAGGCCUGCUAAUGGCAUAUGAAACAAAAGAACGAUCAGCAUAAACCACCAAGAACAUCAAAAAUUUCUACACUUACAAAUAUUGGGAAGAAUACAACUUCUUGGUCACGAUACGAAAUACUGAUUGUUAAUAUAUAAAGCUGACCAAUAUAGCUCACAGUCUACCUAAAUACCGAGAAUGUCCAUGAUCUAGUUUAAAUCUGAAACUUCAAAAUUUCAUCAUACUGGCUUCACACACAAUGCUUACUAUUUGUGUUAAGCAUGUUCAUGGUCUCAUUUCUAUUAACCUUGCAACCAUAGCCCAAGUGUCCCUCCAAUAAACCUUGUUGGUAGUGAUGAAACAAUCUUAAUCAAUUCUCAAUCAUUUCAUCCUGAAACAGUGCUACACACGAGCUCCACAUGGAAAACCCACCGAAAAAAGUGAAGAAAAUAAUGCAUGCAACAGCCAGCCCCUAUCUUUGUAACUUAUCUAACCAUGACGACCAGGGUUGGCGGAACCGUCCUAAACCGGACGGUUCCGGUCACACCGAGUCGUCCCAGCGGCAGACCGGAACGGUUCCGGCAACGAAAACGAAACCCACUGCCACAGGAGGAGAAGGAAAGAAAAGAAAAGAGAGUGAGCGGGGAUGGAGAGAGGGAGGAAGGCCAGCUAGGGCGACGCCUGAGCAGGAGGCGGAGGCCAUGGCCGGGUCCCUUGUUUCAUUCGAAACAGGGAUCCGACCACUUUUUAAUUUUGCGAUUUUUAAGUGAAGUCGGUAAGCCUCCAUCUCCUACCUAGGGAUCGGCCUCCGCCACCCUCCUCUCUCCCUCCCUCUCUCCCCCUUCUCUAUUUUCCUCUCUCCCGUUCGCUCUCCCCCCUCCUCUACUGUGUCAAUACAGGCCCAGCACGGCACGACGCGGGCCCGUACCAACCCAUACUGACGCGCAAAUGGUCCAGUGCCUAGUACGGCACAGCAGACCAUGAUGACAGUCAUUUAUGUUCUCUCCAAACACUAGCUAUUGUAAGAUUAAAGAGUUACCAUUGAUCAGAUUUUAAAAGACCUUAGUUUUAACAUAAACUUCUCCAAAGAAGAAUUACAAUUAGAAGUAAUUAACUUAGUAUUUUUAAAAAAGAAAUAAACUUCACUAUUUAUUUAAAUUGAUACAAAGUGAAGCUUGACCAAGGGCAACAACAAUUUGUUGUAUGCAAUAGAUACAUAAGUCGCUCCUCACAAACUAAACUCCCAUUUUAUUAUUUGAAAUAAAAAAAUAUUGAAUAGACAAUCUAUCUCAAUAGAAGUGUUCUGAGGCUCAGUCAACUAGGUCAACCCAUCACCUAUUAAGUAUUGCAGGUCGGGUCAAGACACGGCCCCGAAAAAGCUUAAACCUGCUCAAAAUGGUGAACUGGAUGGUUCAACAGUUCAAACCAUCUCAGUCAAAACAACUACAGACCCAUGGGUCAACCAGUGAAGAGGGGGAAAUGCGAUGCCUUAUGCCCUAGCUUCGGUCAAUAGCAUAGAAAUCUUGAUUUCUCUCUUGUUUAUUUGCCAUUAUCAUCAUCAUGAUCAACGCCAAGAUGCUGAGUAGAUCUUCAAAGUGGUGGAUGGAAGCUAGAUGACCAAGGGCCUAAGAUCAUGGUGGAGAUGGAAGGGGACAGUAAGGGGACUUGAUGUCAAUAUCCUGGAGUGGGAAGGAGGGCACAUUGAGGGGCUACACAUUGACGAUGACAAAGUGAUGCUGAAAGAUAGGAGAGGGUCGUUGGGAAGAUUGACAUUGGAUGAGGGGAAGAUGGCCGUUGGAGUGCUUGACUGCAACAGCUGCAGCAAAGAACCAGCAGGCUAAAAGGCCGCACAAAGAUGAUGGUGAGAGAUGAGAAGGCUGUCUUAAAGAGCUUGAAUAUGAUGGUGAGAGGAGCCGAGAGGAUAAGUUAUGGAUCUGAGAUGAGAUUUGACUUUGACGGCAUCGGUGAAGAGGAAGGUGUGAUGGGUUUGAGAAAUAUAUGCAAAAGGAAUAAGAUAUUUCUGUGGCCCAGAUGACCUGUGGUCAGAUCAUGAACCUGCAAACCAGCCACUAGUUCAGUCCAGUCCACAUCAGCAGAUUCAGAACACUGUUCGCCAGUACAAAAUAAUUAAUAGAUAAAUCACUUAAGACAUGAUGACAUUUCAAAAGUAGUUGGGCAUAAAUUAUUACAUAGUUAUUAUCUAAAGAAAUAAUUAUAUCUUAAGAUAUAGAAUGAGUUUUUGUACAAUUAUUUAUUCUAAUGAAAAUGUAAUCCAAAAGAGUAUUUAGUAAGUAAUGAUGGGGCACCUAAUUCACUUAAUGAUUUAUCGAUGGGAUAUAUCAAUCUUAAAGCAUCACAAGCAAGCUAGUUUGCAACAGCUAAGUUAGUAUUAUGAGAGCAGAUUAGUGAUCUUGGUUGCAUCAGACAGAAGAUUCAAACAAACGAUUAUUACAAUUGCAUUUCUAGUAAAACUACCAUCAAUAUGAUCAAACAGCAUAUGCACCAAGUAAUUAUCCAAUAAAUUAGACUUCAAUAUUUAUGACUAAAUUUCCACAACCAGUUUCCAUGGCAAAGUUUAUUGGUAUUCAAAGCAAUACAGGUAUCACCCAACAAAUAACAAAAACAGCAACAAAAAUGACGAUGACAAGGUUUGACGAACUGGUACUGGAGGGCAUACCGGCCAACAACCGGUUCAGCACAGUAUAGGUCCAUACUAUGCCGUUCCAAGGCAUAUCAAAAUAGGGAGAGCCGGAGAAGGAGGGAGAGAGGGAGAAGGAGAGAAUGCUUAUUACCAGUCGGCGAAGGCGGGAAUGCUCAAGCGAACAGAAGGGGNNNNNNNNNNNNNNNNNNNNNNNNNNNNNNNNNNNNNNNNNNNNNNNNNNNAGUGCCGAUAUGCUGCUGUCUGAUGAUGAUGGAAUGCAGCUAACAAGUUGCUCUUUGUCCAGAUCCCAAAGCACAAUAGAUGAUGCUUCACCAGAAGCAUACAGGUAGCCAGACUGCUGUUGCCAGUCCACAACUGCAUUCAUACUGCGAACACCAGGUCUAUGGCCUUGAACUGAAGAAAAUGCUGUUACAAGUUUCUGUUUGCCCUUUAGGGUAUAAUCUUUCCAUACACGGACAUUUCCAUCACUUGAAGCAACAAGGAGCAAGCUGUCAUCAAGUUCGUUCACAAGGCAGAGCCUAGAAAUUCCUCUGUCGAAUAAAUCAUGAUUCUCGAAGCUGUUCAAAGUUGUACCUUCCUCGUAGUUCCAUAC
rnacentral:lncRNA from 1 species